UCAAAAUGGGUUAAAGUGAGGAGU
rnacentral:siRNA from 1 species